GAAAAGUGAAAAAAAAGAGAGUUGAGUAGAAUGAUUCCCGCUUAGGGUGCGAGAGGUUCCUAGUUCGUUCGUGGAAUGCAGUUUUCGUUUUUUUUUCACGAUUUGGAAGAUGACAGGCUUGACUUGGUAAAAGCUAUAGUCAAAUACCAACCAACUAACACCAGGUUUGAUUUCUAAUUUACUCUUUUCAACUUCCGGAACUUGGCGAACUUUACUUGUUAAGUCGAUUAGUUAAAUAAUAAUAAGCAUCAGAGGUCGCAUGUGAUUGUGAUGCGAUCAAUGAAUUCAUUAUUUAACUGCUUGCCAUGAAAAAUGUAGUACAAUAAUUUGCUGUAAGUCGUAGUUGAUAAUUAAAAUAUAAAACCAGAGACAAUGGUACAAGUCCGGUUAUAAAGAAAAUCAGGUAAAGAAUCUAAAUUAGGAGUGGUGCUCGCACAUUUAAUGCUCAAUAGUGCCAUGAAUUGAACUCUAUUGUCUCCAAAAACAGGGUAUCUGUACGGAGAACGUUGAUACAUUAAACCAGAGUGGUAAAUUAGUAAACUUACUUUGAUUGCCUGAUUAGAAAAAUAGGUUGCCUUGACUUUUAAUUGCCUAUCCAGGUAAUAGAAGUGAAGAGAACGUGGAAUGCAUAUAAAUUUCUAAAAUAAACCUGACAUAGACUUGACUUUGCCCAAAUCCUCUCGCUAUGGGCAUUUGGUCUAGUGGUAUGAUUCUCGCUUAGGGUGCGAGAGGUCCCGAGUUCAAUUCUCGGAAUGCCCCCUCUUUUUUUCUUAUCUUUACCUGAAUUGUCUUGAUGUGUUUUUCUCAUUGAGUAGGCAGAAGGAAAACCCUGCAUUCUCAGACAGAAUAUAAUACUUGCAGAUGCAUUUUUUUUCUUAAAGAACAGGUGAACGUGCAAAUCACAAUCUUAAAAGUCAAUUUUGUUUGUAUUGUGCUUGACUGUUGAUAUGUCUUUUAACAAUUAAGCUCCAAGACACUUGGCAUUGUUAUGAUUUACCUAUCUCUCCACACGGUAGCAAGCAUCAGUUUUAUCGCCUAUAUUGUGCUAUCUGAUCUUAACUAAGUAUGCGCCAUUUGAACUAUAUAUUCUGCAACGAAUUAAAAUAUUUCUUAAUCAACUAAAUAAGGAAGGAAGUUGUUGUUGAUGAUGCAUGACACCCUUAAAUAUCAAAUUCUUAUGAACAAAUGUAUCAACACAGUUAUAUCUUUAAAUACUUUGCACAUGUAAUUAGCACGUAUCUUAUUUUGUACUUUACAAACAUUCGGUGGAGUAUGUGAUUAACCUCCAUAUCAAAACAGCGGUGUUGAAUUUCAGAUCACUGCACUUAGAAGCAAUAUUAGAAUUGUGAAGUAAAAAUAACGUUUCAAAUUGUGUAAGAAAGAGAAUACAACUUACUGUCAUGUGGGAUGCUUAUAAAACAAUAAGCAUCAGGAGCUGAACGUGAAUGUGUUGGAAGAAUGAUUGAUAGUUUUCGCUGGAAGUUUUGAAGUAAUGAGUGUCAACUUGUCAACGUAAAUGUAAUUAAAUUAUAUGGCAAUUCAUGGGAAGUCUUUCAAUAUAUAAAACCAGAGGGGUAAGCUGAUAGGAUUCCUAAUAAGGAUCAUAAGGUGGAAAGUGCACACGGGCCUGUUAUUCAACAAGGAACAAUUAGGUCCAAAAUAUGGAAUGUUUAUGUUAGAAGAAAGAAAGGGGGGUUAGGAAAAGAAAGAGAAGUUAGUUAGGAUGGGAAAUGAUGUGUUAAGAAUCUGGGAAUGGGAGAAUUCUGUUAUAGGAGAGAGAAGGGCGAGUGUGAAACGGGUACAGGAGUAGGAGGUUGUGAGUUGGUUAGGAAGAGAGUGAUCCUCUGAAGGAGUCUAGUGAUCUGGGAUUUCCUUGUGGCUGUAGAGCUAUCAGCUCAAUAACCCUUUUUACUGCAUAAUAUUCUGAAUAAUAAAACUUGGAUAUUCAGUUAUUUCUUGGUCUAUCAUAAGCAAACUCUCUUUCAUAUUUUGACUAGGAAAACAAGUUAUCUUGACUGAUAAUUACCCAUCCAGAUAACCAAAUAUUACGAUUUGUAUGCAAUCUUACUUCAGAACUGAAGGCAAUGCACGCAUAAAAGAAUAAUUCAGCCCUGAAUCUUUCAAUAUGGGCAUUUGGUCUAGUGGUAUGAUUCUCGCUUUGGGUGCGAGAGGUCCCGAGUUCGAUUCUCGGAAUGCCCCUAUUUUUUUCAUAUUUAUCUGUGCCCGUAUUAUUCUCAAGUGUGUUUGUUAUUUUUUUUUAACGCGUGCAUUUCUUAUUGACUAGACAUAAAGCGCACACUACAUUCUCAGCCUACUUGCAGUUGUGUUUCGUAUUGACUUCCAGUUGUGUUUCUUCCACCAGAAAACCAGGAGAAGAUGUUAAUCAAUCUUAACAAUCUGGCUGCAUUAUAGCAUCCACAGUUAAUCCCAAAGACUGCUUGCCAUGCCAUGAUACACUUAGCAGUUGAUUGACAUCUGUAUCUCUCUGUUAGUUUGCAGGUAUACGUCAAAACUCUGAGAUUAGUAUGUGAUCUUGUGUUUCAAUUUGAACUUUGCAUUCUCCAAUGAAGUAAUAUUGUUGAAUCAGCUAUAUCAUUUCGAAAGUUUUGUCUGGAAGCUUUUCUCUAAUAAGUGACAACUUGCCAAUGAAAGUUUAAUAAAAUUAUAUGGCAAAUCUUAGGAUGUCUUUAAAUAUAAAACCAGAGAGGAAUAAACAACUCUCUGUGAUACCUUGUCAUGGAAACAAGUUAUCUUAACUGAGAAUUCCCCCACCCAGGUAAGUAGAUCUCACCAUUUGUAUGCAACUAGUUUUUUGACCUUAGCAAACACACGAAUAGCUUAGAUUAUAGUAUUUUGUUAGUACCUCAUAAACAUAAUCAAUAAUCAUGCAAUACUAUAUUUCGAUAACAAAAUCAUAUAUCAUCAUUCAUAUUAUAUGUUCAAAUUAAAGUAUACAUAAAUGGUUUCAAAUAUCAAUGUCGAUGUUAAUUAAAGUUGAUAUAAAGAAUGUGGCAUCACCUCAAAACAUUAUAUUAGUAUAAGAAGGCUUUUAUUGACAAUGAGGGUUUUUAUCGACAUCUUCCAUCUGCCAUUAUUCCAGUAAGGAAGUCAAAACAUAACUUUGAUAAACAUACCUUAUAAUUGAAAUAAAACUUAAAAUAAGAAGGUACCUUAGAUCAGUUGCAAAAUAUUGUACUUGUUUCUUUUUAAAGAGUUUCAAAGAUUUCUUUGUACGCACAUUUUUAGUUGUAGUACUAACAUUUCCAACUUCGUCCAGAAUUAGGAUUUUCAAUCCUUUCUUUAUUUUGACUCUAGAAAUAGCAACAUACAAUUGGCCAUGUGUAAAUACUGGACAUGACAAAUAAAGUCCAAUUCUAGUAAGAGAUUGCCCUUGACUCUUAUUAAUUAUCAUUGCAAAGCAGAGUGAUAUCGGAAAUUGUCUUUGCAAUUUAAAAAAUAAUAAAAAAUCAAAAGAAACUAAAUUUAUUCUUGGUAUAAAUAUAUUUUUACCAAUGCUUUUUCUGUUAUCAGAGUAGCAGAAAUCACAUACCCCACAAAACCGGCUUGUAAGGUGAGGUCAACACACCCCCUUCACGCCAAUGUAUAUACAUAUCGAGCGUGAGACUAGAUAUUAAUGGGUGGUCCGAUAACGGCCCAAUAGUGGGUGGAACAAUAUGCCCAACAAAUAUUGCUAGGAUAGGCUCUAACCAUAGCUCUGAUAUCAUGUUAGAAGUGAGUUUUAGGCCUAACUCAACCUCACAAAACCAGCUUGUAAGGUGAGGUCUGCACCCCACUUAUAUAUUAUAAAUUGGCCUUAUCUCUAUCCGAUGUGGGACUUCCAACAACUUGCAACCUCGUGUUAUUACAAAGACUUUUUACUUGAUCAAUAUUUCUUAGAGGCAUAAUUGGCACAUCUACUUUCAACUUCAAUUGAUGAUUUGAUAUGUCUGAACAUUUUAUCUCAUUCAAGAAUUAUAAUGUAAACUACUCAACUUGAAUAAACAAUUUUAAGUGAAUAUCAGUCAAAGAUUGAACUUGGACCUAUUCAAUUAAUGUGGGCAUUUGGUCUAGUGGUAUGAUUCUCGCUUUGGGUGCGGGAGGUCCCGAGUUCGAUUCUCGGAAUGCCCCCAAUUUUUUCAGAUCUAUCUGUGCCUUUUUUGUCCUCAUGUGUGUUUUGUCAUUGGCUUGGCUCAAAGAAAGGCACUGGAUUCUUGUUCAGAUUAGAAUACUUGGUUUCGUUUCUUCCACCAAAAAAAAAUAGGAGCUGUGAAUCACAGUUUUAACUAUCUGGUUUUAUUAGUCUUUGCAGCUGAGAACCAAGACAGGUUGGCAUGAAGCACCAAAAAGCUGCUUUGGUUUCUGUAUCUCUCCCACAAGUUUUCAAGCAACAGUCCCGACACCAAGAUGCUGGUUUGUGAUCUUGUGUCUAUGUAUGACAUUUGAACCUGCAUUCUAGAAUGAAGUAAUAUUGCUAAAUUAACUAUUGCUAUUUUAAAUUUAAUAAGGAAGAAGGUUGUGAAUUGUUUCCAUGGUGCCUGCCACCCAAAACUAUAAUAUAGUUGUCUUUUUUUAAGUAAUAAAACCCAUUAGAAAUUAUCAAGUAUCUUAUUUUCUAGUUUAUAACACUCAGAUUGAAUAUUUGAUGUUCUACAUAUAGAUUCACAUGCUGUUUGAUUUUAUUCAAGCUAGUCAGACAGGAAAAUGAAAACUAG
rnacentral:lncRNA from 1 species